AUUGAACGCUGGCGGCAGGCCUAACACAUGCAAGUCGAACGAGUGGCGGACGGGUGAGUAAUGUCUGGGAAACUGCCUGAUGGAGGGGGAUAACUACUGGAAACGGUAGCUAAUACCGCAUACCAUCGGAUGUGCCCAGAUGGGAUUAGCUAGUAGGUGGGGUAAAGGCUCACCUAGGCGACGAUCCCUAGCUGGUCUGAGAGGAUGACAAGCGACCCUGGAACUGAGACACGGUCCAGACUCCGAGGGGAGGCAGCAGUGGGGAAUAGUGGGCAGUGGGGGCAAGCCUGAUGCAGCCAUGCCGCGUGUAUGAAGAAGGCCUUCGGGUUGUAAAGUACUUUCAGCGGUGAGGCGUUACCCGCAGAAGAAGCACCGGCUAACUCCGUGCCAGCAGCCGCGGUAAUAC
rnacentral:rRNA from 1 species